AGCUCCAAUAGCGUAUAUUUAAGUUGUUGCAGUUAAAAAGCUCGUAGUUGGAUUUCGGAUGGGAUUUGCCGGUCCGUCGUUACGAUGUGCACUGGCAAGUCCUAUCUUGUUGUCGGGGACUAGCUCCUGGGCUUCACUGUCCGGGACUAGGAGCCGACGAAGUUACUUUGAGUAAAUUAGAGUGUUCAAAGCAAGCCUACGCUCUGAAUAUAUUAGCAUGGAAUAACACGAUAGGACUCUGGCUUAUCUUGUUGGUCUGUGAGACCAGAGUAAUGAUUAAGAGGGACAGUCGGGGACAUUCGUAUUUCAUUGUCAGAGGUGAAAUUCUUGGAUUUAUGAAAGACGAACUUCUGCGAAAGCAUUUGUCAAGGAUGUUUUCAUUAAUCAAGAACGAAAGUAG
rnacentral:rRNA from 1 species